UCCUGAGAUAUCCGUGGGGCUGGAUACUAAAGGGUCUCCAUUUCCAGGUAGAACCUAAGGUUAGAUGAGAGAGGUUUAUCAUCAAUGCAGGAGGAUCCUCACAACACACAGGAUUUAACAGCCUUACAGGGAUUCCAAAAGAUAGUACAAAUCAGAUUUGAGGAACACAAAACCAGUUUCGGAAAUGAGACGAAGACUCAGACACAAACUUCAGCAAUGAGGACACGCAGCAGGCAGAGCAGCCCAGACAAGAUACCCAGUACUGCGACUCACCAGGGGACUGCAAAUCAAAACCACAGUGAGAUCCCACUACACGCCCAUUAGAAUGUCUAAAAUAAAAACCACAGACACUA